rnacentral:rRNA from 1 species
CCCUUAGAUGUUCUGGGCCGCACGCGCGCUACACUGAUGCAUUCAACGAGUCUAAAACCUGCUCUGAUAGGGGUGGGUAAUCUUUUGAAUGUGCAUCGUGAUUGGGAUAGAUGAUUGCAAUUUUUCAUCUUCAACGAGGAGUGCCUAGUAAACGCAAGUCAUCAGCUUGCAUUGAUUACGUCCCUGCCCUUUGUACACACCGCCCGUCGCUCCUACCGAUUGAAUGAUCCGAUGAAUAUCAUGGAUUGAGGAUGCAAGUAGGUUCGCCUAUCUUCAUCUUCGAGAAGUGAAGUAAAUCUUAUCAUUUAGAGGAAGGAGAAGUCGUAACA